GACGUACCGUGCGAACGUUGUUCGGAAUCACUGGGCUUAAAGGGCGCGUAGGCGGCGCACCCAGUCCGGGGUGAAAGCCCCCAGCUCAACUGGGGAAGUGCCUCGGAUACUGGUGCGCUCGAGGGAGGUAGGGGCGGAUGGAACUUCCGGUGGAGCGGUGAAAUGCGUUGAUAUCGGAAGGAACGCCGGUGGCGAAAGCGAUCCGCUGGACCUCUUCUGACGCUGAGGCGCGAAAGCCAGGGGAGCAAACGGG
rnacentral:rRNA from 1 species